rnacentral:rRNA from 1 species
UACGUAGGGAGCGAGCGUUGUCCGGAAUCAUUGGGCGUAAAGAGCAUGUAGGUGGAUCAAUUAGUCUGCUGUGAAAGUCAAAGGCUCAACCUUUGAAAGCCGGUGGAUACUGUUGAUCUAGAGUACGGAAGAGGCGAGUGGAAUUCCUGGUGUAGCGGUGGAAUGCGCAGAUAUCAGGAGGAACACCAAUGGCGAAGGCAAUUUGCUAGGCUGAUUCAGACACUGAGAUGUGAAAGCGUGGGGAGCGAAUGGG